UGUGUAACCUUCUGCCUUUGU
rnacentral:miRNA from 1 species